UUUGAAAGAAUAAUCAGUAUAGCAUAGACGACCCAGGAUGUCUCAUCUGCUUUCCUUAUUGACCAUACUGCAAGUUCCUAGUUUAGGCUGAGCUCACUACAUGGUCUUCCCUCCACCCACGAAUCACCAGCAGUAAUAUAAUUUCACUUGAGACGGUUGAAACCAAGCAAAGUGCAACCUAUCCAUUCAUGGAGCAUUUAUGCAGUACCAGACCAUGAGAAGGGGAGUCUUGGACAAUUGAGGGUGUAAGCCAAGGUGCACCCUGGAUGUAUAAUGAAUCCAAGUAAACAUCAACACAAUCACACCAGAUAAGUGGUUAAAGGAUACAUGUUGCUUGAUAGCUUAUGCUUUUAGAAAAAACAAGAAUAUGAUAUAUCUUAUGUCAAAUUAUUAUAAUUCCUUGAAUCAUGCAGUUUAUGAGUAUUAAAUGAACAUACAUAUAUUUUCUUCCUCUUUAAAUACCACACAUAGCUACUGAUCUUUUCAUGGAAGAUUUUCGGAAUCAGAUUACAUAUCUACAUGUUUUUAAUUUUGAAAAGGGACAUUGAAAAAAGUUUUACAAUCAUUUGCCAUUGACAAACAAAUUGAGACAUGGGUAUUGUAAUCCAUAUAACAUAUGUUUAUGUUGAUUACCUUUCAGUCAAAAGUGACGCAAAGCUGUAUCGCGAAGGUGUGCUCUGUUGGAAAAAAAUCUUUAUGCAAAUAAAUGUCCUACUUAAGAUGUCAUCUUUGCCGCAGCUGUGAUAACACAGUUGGAUUUAUGAUUCUGAAUAUUCACAUAACAAUUCUUCAUGCAAGGAUAUCCAUUUUGGUAUUUUCCAGUCAAAUUAAAAAGUAGUUUCUAAUCAAUGUGCUUCUUAUCUUCCUGCUUCAGUAUAUAUAGCGUACCUAAACGAAUCCGUGUAUAUAAGACACGACCAGAAACAAGGGAGUUCAGGAUCAUCUCCUUCACUUCUCAGGGUUUCCUACAGACAUGACAGGCAAAGGAGUGUAUGUGUGUGCAGUGGCAGCUGCCAUACUUGCGACAUGUUUCACUAUGGCUCCGCUGGGGUCUGAGCACCCUGAAGUCCAAGGGCCAGCCAUGCAGCUGGAAAAGACAUUGACUGCAGAGGACGCCAUUCUAAAGGCUGUCGAUCGAGUAACACGACAAGGGAAAAUGUUGCAAACUGCAGUGGAAGGAUAUGAUCGUUUGGGUUCCAUGAUGGAAGAUCAGCGGGAUUUUAUGUCUAAACAAAUCCUACAAACAAUUAUAGGUAAAGUACAAUAGGAUUGCAUUAAAAUAUUAAUUGUUACAGAUUGCUUGUCAGUGUUGAAAACAAGCUGAUCAUUUAUUUGAAAAGAAAUGCAUUUCUAAUGCAUCUAUAAGCAUAAUGUUGUAAAUAAGUGUAAGAUAUAUGUUAAAUGAAUUAUACUAUACAAGUAAUGUUCACAAUAAAGAUGUGAAGUGUAUCGUAAAUGGAUUUUACUUUCGUGUGUGAUUUUUCCAUCUUGCUGGCAGAACAUAUGAACAAGGGAGGUUGUUUCGGAGAUCACCCAUUCUCCAACCGUGACUACCAAGGCUGGAUGGAUUUUGGACGGCGAAGCUCUGAAAAACAGGAACAACACUAAAUAACAUUCAUCCCAGCUGCAGGACUUCUGAUGUCAGCAAUGAUCAUUUUGCCAACUUACGUAAAAACUGUAAACUGGUUCCAGCAGCUCAAUUUGGCUGGGAUAUUUUUAUUCAAAUUGUAUUAAACAUAUAUACAUAAAACUA